AGAAUUUGAUCCUGGCUCAGAACGAACGCUGGCGGCGUGGAUUAGGCAUGCAAGUCGAACGCGAACGUCACCUUCGGGUGGCUAGUAGAGUGGCGAACGGGUGAGUAACGCGUGAGAAACCUGCCUAGAAGUGGGGGAUAACACUCCCAACGGGGUGCUAAUACCGCAUGUGAUGUGAGUGUCUCCUGGCACACACAGGAAAGAUGGCCUCUGCUUGCAAGCUAUCGCUUCUAGAUGGUCUCGCGUCCGAUUAGCUUGUUGGUGAGGUAACGGCCCACCAAGGCGACGAUCGGUAGCUGGUCUGAGAGGAUGGUCAGCCACACUGGGACUGAGAUACGGCCCAGACUCCUACGGGAGGCAGCAGUCGAGAGGCCUUGUCAAUGGGGGAAACCCUGAACAAGCGACGCCGCGUGGGGGAUGACGGCCUUUGGGUUGUAAACCCCUUUCAGCAGGGACGAAUGUUAUGUGGGUGAAUAAUCCACGUAGUUGACGGUACCCGCAGAAGAAGCUCCGGCUAACUCCGUGCCAGCAGCCGCGGUAAUACGGGGGGAGCGAGCGUUGUUCGGAAUCACUGGGCGUAAAGGGCGUGUAGGCGGUUCGGUAAGUGAGAUGUGAAAGCCCCCGGCUCACCCGGGGAUGUGCAUUUCAUACUGCCGGACUUGAGUGCGGAAGAGGAUGGGGGAAUUCCUGGUGUAGCGGUGAAAUGCGUAGAUAUCAGGAGGAACACCGGUGGCGAAGGCGCCCAUCUGGUCCGUUACUGACGCUGAUGCGCGAAAGCUAGGGGAGCGAACGGGAUUAGAUACCCCGGUAGUCCUAGCCGUAAACGGUGGGCACUAGGUGUUGGAGGCAUCGACCCUUCCAGUGCCGCAGCUAACGCAUUAAGUGCCCCGCCUGGGGAGUACGGUCGCAAGACUGAAACUCAAAGGAAUUGACGGGGGCCCGCACAAGCGGUGGAGCAUGUGGUUCAAUUCGACGCAACGCGAAGAGCCUUACCAGGCUUGACAUGCACUGGACCGGUGUAGAAACACACCUUCCCUUCGGGGCUAGUGCACAGGUGCUGCAUGGCUGUCGUCAGCUCGUGUCGUGAGAUGUUGGGUUAAGUCCCGCAACGAGCGCAACCCUUGCCCUUAGUUGCUAACGAAUAAAGUCGAGCACUCUAGGGGGACUGCCGGCGGUAAGCCGGAGGAAGGUGGGGACGACGUCAAGUCCUCAUGGCCCUUACGCCUGGGGCUACACACGUGCUACAAUGACCGACACAGAGGGCUGCGAUACCGCGAGGUGGAGCCAAUCCCAAAAAGUCGGCCUCAGUUCGGAUUGCAGUCUGCAACCCGACUGCAUGAAGGUGGAAUCGCUAGUAAUCGCUGAUCAGCAGGCAGCGGUGAAUACGUUCCCGGGCCUUGUACACACCGCCCGUCAAGCCACGAAAGUUGGCAGUACCCGAAGUCGCCGUGGUAACCCGCAAGGGAGCUAGGCGCCUAAGGUAAGGCUAGCGAUUGGGGCUAAGUCGUAACAAGGUA
rnacentral:rRNA from 1 species